rnacentral:lncRNA from 1 species
GGGAGCCCGAAAACGACGCUAAUUUAAAGGGAACGACGGAUCACAAACCCCAGCGACGGGAUCGUGCAAACAGAGCCGGCGCAGGAAGGGCGGUGAAGGCAGGGAAGAGCAAAGUCAUCUGCGCAUAAAUCGCACGGUUUUAUCUUGACAAUCAUUCAGGGAGAUGGCUAAAGGCUGCGGAGGGCAUUUUUUAUCCUAUAUUGAAAUUAUGAAUCACAGCGUAAUUACACGAAAUGGAUCUUGCGCUCUGGUGACAUGGAAGUUUCAAUCAGAGAAGUUGCAUGAGUUAGUGAAUUUUAAUAUCGAGAGACCUUAAUGAGCGCACAUUAAAAACAGGGGGAGGCAAAGACAGCAGACAGGUUCAUGACAAAUCCCUUUAAACGCUUCAAAGCCCGUAAGCAGCGCGCGCUGCCNNNNNNNNNNNNNNNNNNNNNNNNNNNNNNNNNNNNNNNNNNNNNNNNNNNNNNNNNNNNNNNNGUCCCCCCGCCCGGGCUGCGGCCAGGGGUGCCCAGCACACCGCUCUCCUCGGGGCGCCGCGACACUUUCUCCUGCAGCAGAUCAAAAGAAAGCAAUUUACAGCUUUUCCUCUCAGAAGACAAAGCUACUCCCCUGCAGGGCUAUUUAUGUAAUUAGUAUUAGCUGAGGCCACGCAAGGUCAUCUGCUGCUCCCUCCGAGCAAGGGCCCUGCCGGCGCUGCCGGAAGCCAGCCUGAGGUCGGGCCUCGCGCCGGAGCCGGCGAAGGUGCUGCGUCGGGUGCUGCUUCCCCGGGCAACUCCGGCAUCCGCCACGCAUCCACCGUGCAUCUGCUGGGCGUGCGCCCUGCAUCCCCCACGCAUCCCCUGGGCAUCCACCACGCAUCUGCCACGCAUCCCCUGGGCAUCCACCGUGCAUCCGGCACGCAUCCACUGCAUAUCCACCGUGCAUCUGCCACGCAUCCCCUGGGCAUCCACCACGCAUCUGCCACGCAUCCCCUGGGCAUCUGCUGGGCGUGUGUCCUGCAUCCCCCACGCAUCCCCUGAGCAUCCAGCACACAUCUGCCACACAUCCCCUGGGCCUCCUCCAUGCAUCUGCUGGGCAUCCCCUGGACAUCCACCAUGCAUCUGCCACGCAUCCCCUGGGCAUCCACCAUGCAUCCCCCACGCAUCCCCUGAGCAUCCACCAUGCAUCUGCUGGGCAUCCACCACGGAUCCACCACUUAUCCACUGUGCAGCCAUCACACAUCCACUGCACAUCCACCAUGCAGCUGCUGGACGCACCAUGCAUACCAAAUGCAUUCACUGUGCAUCCACCAUACAUGUGCUGGGCAUGCGCCAUGCAUCUGCCACACAUCCACCAUGCAUCUGCCACACACCAGCUGUCCAUCUGCCACACAUGCCCUGUGCAUCCACCAUGCAUCUGCCACACAUCCCUGGUGCAUCCACUAUGCAUCCGGCACGCAUCCACCGUACAUCCACCAUGCAUUUGCCACGCAUCCACUGUACAUCCACCAUGCAUCUGCCACACACCAGCUGUCCAUCUGCCACACAUGCCCUGUGCAUCCACCAUGCAUCUGCCACACAUCCACUGUACAUCCACCCUGCAUCCGCUAGGCAUCCACUACAUGGGACAGCUCCAAGGAAGGGCAUGAAACUACUGCAGAAGAUUUAAAUCCACUCUAACUCCCCCCAGAUAGCACACACUUUCUGCUCAGAGGCGCCCAGACACCGCAAUGGCCCUGUGCACCCUGGUCAGGUAGGGAGCACAGGGAAAGGUGUCCCCCCGUCCCGGGCUCUACGGCUGAAGGGCAGCCCUGGCGGGAGGCAGACUCUCCUGGGGCGAGGGAAGCGCAGCGCUCAACACUUCCGCAGCAUGCAAUGCAACUGCACUGCCCGGUGCAACUGCAGGACAUGAUGCGGCCACGGCGUGCGAUGCAGAUGCAGCAUGCAAUGCAACUGCACUGCCCGGUGCAACUGCAGUGCACGAUGUGGCCACGGCGUGCGAUGCAGAUGCAGCAUGCAAUGCAACUGCACUGCCCGGUGCAACUGCAGGACAUGAUGCGGCCACGGCGUGCGAUGCAGAUGCAGCAUGCAAUGCAACUGCACUGCCCGGUGCAACUGCAGUGCACGAUGUGGCCACGGCAUGCGAUGCAGCUGCAGCAUGCAAUGCCGCCGGCUCCGCAGU